rnacentral:sRNA from 1 species
GGGAGUUACCGGGAGCAUGGCUAGCUGAAGGGCUUGUUUCUGCAGGACAUGGACUACUCACGCAUCAUCGAGCGCCUCCUGAAGCUGGCGGUGAGUGCGGACAGGUGGCGCAUGCACGGGACAGGAGGGGACGGUGGCAUGUGGGGGAAGGUUCUAGAACUUGGUGCCCACCCCCACCCCCCUGCCAGGUCCCCAACCACCUCAUCUGGCUCAUCUUCUUCUACUGGCUCUUCCACUCCUGCCUGAAUGCCGUGGCUGAGCUCAUGCAGUUUGGAGACCGGGAGUUCUACCGGGACUGGUGGUGAGUGGCCCUGGGGUGUCCCUGGGGGCUGGGAUGGGCCAUGGUGUGCUCUGAUCCCCCUGUGGUCUCUUGGCCCCUAGGAACUCCGAGUCUGUCACCUACUUCUGGCAGAACUGGAACAUCCCUGUGCACAAGUGGUGCAUCAGGUAGGUGAGGUGUGUGUGUGUGAUGUGGAACAUGGCUGUGAACCUGACCCCUUUCCACACUCCCCCUCUGCAGAAACCACGUGGUGUGUGCGUGUGACUGUGGAACAUGGCUGUGAACCUGAACCGCUUUCCAUGCCCCCUCCUCUGCAGGCACUUCUACAAGCCCAUGCUUCGACGGGGCAGCAGCAAGUGGAUGGCCAGGACAGGGGUGUUCCUGGCCUCGGCCUUCUUCCACGAGUACCUGGUGAGCGUCCCUCUGCGAAUGUUCCGCCUCUGGGCGUUCACGGGCAUGAUGGCUCAGGUGAGCGACC